rnacentral:lncRNA from 1 species
GUCAAGCUGUGAAGUCAAGCAACUUCCUGCAUUAUGACCUCUCAGUCACAAAGGGAAUACAUUUCUUCUUGCAGCAUUAGUAAGCUGUUUUCUCAUCCACAGGUAUGUGUAAUGUUGUUGGGCAUGGACAGGACGUCUAUUCAUUGAACAUGUCAUCAGACAGAAAGAAAUGGUUACCAGCUUGGAUUCAACUUCCUGCUGGCCUUUCAAUCCUGGAAAGCGAAUACAGUUACCUAGCAGCAUACUCAGAGCUCAGGACAGUAGCAGUUGAAUCAUCUCAAGAAACAAAGAAGGGUUGA